rnacentral:rRNA from 1 species
AAACUUUCAACAAUGGAUCUCUUGGCUCUCGCAUCGAUGAAGAACGCAGCGAAAUGCGAUAGGUAAUAUGAAUUGCAGAAUUCCGUGAAUCAUCAAAUUUUUGAACGCAAAUUGCACUUCUUGGUAUUCCGAGGAGUACACAUGCUUGAGGGUCAGUUA